GUACAAUUUAUUAAAUUAAAAUAAUCAUUAUUUUUUACUUCUAAAUUAAAUAAGUCGCAUUUAAAAAGUUUUUUCCUUAUGUGGUAAAUGAAAAUAAUAAACUUCAGUAUGAAGGAUAUUGAUUGGGGAUAGCAAAAAUGGCGCCUGACAGGGUGAACGUACUCGGAUUUGUUCUGGUCGCUCUACAAUUUUGUAACUUACAAGAAGCAAAAACAUUUAUAUUCCCUGAAUAUCCAUAUAAGGAAACGUCUAAAAAUGAGCUGUUAUUCAGAGAAUUUGAGCAGGCUUGUGAGGAAAGUGGAGCUUGCAAAGGAGUUUCACAACAAAGGAGUGCAGUAUCAAAAAUACGUUGUAUUCGAGAAUGUGUAUCACCUUCAUGUUAUAAAGAAAUUUAUUUGUUCGAUCAAUUAGAAGAAGGAGAGAUAGAUGUUAGACUGAAUUCCUUUAAAGGAUGUUUUAUGCAACGGAGUGGUCGUCCUCGUAAAAAAUAACGAAUUUUAUAAAAACUACAUUUGUUGAAACGUGCACAAGAAAAUUGUCCAAUUUUUGAAGUAAUAUGGACUCGCUCUAUCGAUUAGUGACAGAGGCGUAACUUCCACACGGAAAAAAUUAGUCGCUGAAGUUUUCAGCUACUAAUUGAAGACUCUCGGAUAUGAAAAAAACUUUACGGACUUUUUAAAAUACUCUUCGCUUUUAGCAGAAAUUCUCUGAAAAAAGUUGAGGACUUUUUAUAAACCUAGUAGCGGAAAAAUAGUCGUAGAAUUAUUGUAACACUUUGAUAGAAAUUUUUGUCGACGAGUCGCGGAAAAUGAUGCGCAGAAAAAAUGCGCAAACUCUCAGGCAGUAAACGUCACGUGAAAUAAUUUUGACUGACUUUGUUUACGUAUUUUUUAUUUUUAUUUAUUUUAUU